GUAGGAUGUAAAUGUGGUAUUUUGGUCCCAUCAUAGAAUAUAAGUAUGAUACUAUUGCCCAUCAUACGGUAUAACUAUGGUAUUCUAUCCUAGCCAUAGGAUACAAGUGUGGUUAUAAUUAAAAGCUAAUGAGUUAAAUAGAAUUUAUUUUGAAUCAAAUUAUUGAAUAUGAUUGGUUUUGAUUCAGAUAUAUGAUUAUGUAUAUGAAUAUUUGAAUGAUAAUGAUAUU
rnacentral:lncRNA from 1 species